CUUACUUUCAAACAUGCACAAAAAUAAAGUAUAUACUAGCAUGUUUCCGUCAUCUGUGGUUGUGAUAUUCUGUGGUACAUACACCUGUACCAUCUAGUGUCUACCACUGAAAUACUGUGUAUUAGGAGUAUUAUUACUGGCAUGACAAAAUUACUGGAUGCUGAUUGGUUGAGAGGAGUACAAUUAUUUCAUUAAUUGUACUGCAGUACAAUUAAUGAUUUUCCCAAAACAAACAAAAUGGCGG